UCAGCUUGGCGGCAAUAUGAAGCCAUAUUUCAACACAUCUCCUUGGUUUUCAACUUGUUGACCCCUAACAGAUCUCUUAGAUAAGUAAAUUUCUCCUUGUUCAGACUUUUGGUAAAUAUAUCAGCUAUUUGUUCAGAUGUACCACAAUGUAGAACAUAAAUUUCUUCUUCUUUAACAACAUCUCGGAUGAAGUGAAACUUCACUUUUAUGUGCUUUGUCCUCCCAUGAUGCACUGAAUUCUUAGCAAUAGAUAUUGCUGAUUGAUUGUUUAUCAUUAAAGGUGUUCUUGACCUCUUUUCGAACCCUAAAUCUCCUAAUACUUUCUUGAUCCAGAUAGCUUGAUUUGCAGCUGAGGUAGCUGCAAUAUACUCUGCUUCAGCUAAGGAUUGUGCAACCACCUCCUGUUUUUUAGAGUUUCAAGAGAAAACUGCACUUCCAAAUGAAAAACAAUAGCUUUUAGUGCUUUUAGAAUCGUCCAAACUGCUUGCCUAGUCACUGUCACAUAAACCAAUCAAUUCACUGCUCUUGUUUUUCUCAAAUCUCAAACCAUAAUCUAUUAUCCUUUUUAUAUACCUCAGAACUCUCUUUUCUACCAAGUAGUGAUUGUGAGAAGGUUUCUGCAUAAAUCUGGACAACAAGCUUGUAAGAUACAUCAAGUCUGGUCUUGAGGCAGUCAAGUAUAGUAGACUUCCUAUGAUACUUUUGUAAUUCGAACAUACAACCUCAGGAGUUCCAUCAUCUCUACUCAACUUAUUGUUGGAAGUAAGAGGAGUCUCAACAGACUUACAAUUCUCCAUGAAAUCUCUAGUGAAUACAAAUUGAAUCUGCACUCUGAAUAAAUUAUAGUCCCAGGAAAUAAUUCAUCUCCCUCAAGUCUAACAUUUCAAACUCCUUCAUCAGUUGUGUUUUGCAAUCUGACAUAACAUUGUCAUCAACACCAGCAAUCAAAAGGUCAUCGACAUAUGGUUUAAUGAAACCCUCAGGUUGAUGAAUGAAGAUAUCUUCAGUAAGGUGAUCAUUCAAAAAGGCAGAUUUCACAUCAAGGUAUGAGGUAUCUACGCUAUCUAUUAGAAGUAUUCAGAAUGAAUAAGCUCAAGAAUUUAUGGAAGAACUCUACACCAGGCUGACGGCUAAAAAAGGAACAAAGAAGCUUGGAAAUGAAAAGAUACUAAAACGCAGAGUUUAAAUAAAAGACAAAGGAGUGCCAUCCAAACGCUGCGUAUUAGGUUCAGCUAAAGACCAAUGA